GGAUGCAUGAAAGGGACAAUAAAAAUAAAAUGAAAUGAAUAAAAUAAAAUAAAAACAGGAGAACUGUCAAAGGCCUUUAUUUGUAAACUGUGUUUGUUAAGAAGUAGGGUCCAGCUUAGUUGGCAGAGUGCUUGACCAGCAUGCACAAAGUACUGAGUUUGAUCCUCAGCACAGCAAACCACCAUGAAAAGCAGCUUGCAUCCAAGACAGCUUGGAUGUUGGGAAGUGCUUGCUGAUGUUAACUUGAUAUGGCUGUCUCCAGAAAGACUGUGCCAGAGCCUGACUGAUACAGAGGUAGAUGCUCACAGCCAGCCAUUGGACUGAGUUUGGGGUUCCCUGAUGGAGGAAUUGGAGAAGUGAUUCAAGGAGCUGAGGGGUUUUCAGCCCCAUAGAGGGAAUAACAGUGUGAACAGACCAGACUCCCCCCCCCCAACCCCGAAGCUCCCAGGAAGUAGACCACCAAGCAAAGAAUACACAUGGAGGAACCCAUGUUGCUGGUCACAUAUGAGGCAGAGUAGGAUGAGAGGUCUUUGGGCCUGAGGCUGUUCAUUGCCCUUGUGUAAGGAAAUGCCAGAGCAGGAAGAAGGGAGUGGUCAGGUGGGUGGGUGAGCACCCUCAUAGAUGCAGGGAGAGUGGAGAUGGGAUAGAGCAUUUCAGAAGGGGAGACAGACCCAGAAAGGGGAAAAUAUUUGAAAUGUAAAUAAAGAAAAUAUCCAAUAAAAAUGGGAUACAGCUCUAAACAAGGAGUUUUCAACUGAGGAAUCUCAAAUGGCUCUGAGAAACACCUAAAGAAAAUCUCAACAUUCUUAGAUAUCAGGGAAAUGCAAAUCAAAAAGACCAUGAUAUUCCACCUCACACCAGUCAGAAUUGCUAAGAUCAAAAACUCAGCUGAACUGCAUGUGCAGCAGAGGAUGGGCUAGUAGGAUGUCCAUCAAUGGGAGGAUAGGCCCUUUAUCCUUUGAAGGCUCUAUGCCCCAGUUUGGGGGAAUGCCAGGGCCAGAAAGUGGGAGUGGGUGGGUUGCUGAGUAGGGGGAAGGUGUUUUUUGGAGGGGAAACCAGGAGAAGAGAAAACUUUUGAAAUGUAAAUGAAGAAAAUAUCCAAUAAUAAAAACGCUAAGCUAACAGCAGAUGUGGGUGAGGAUGUGGAGAUAGAAGAACACUCCUUCAUUGCUGGUGGGAUUGCAAGCUAGUACCACCCAUAUGGAAAUCAGUCUUGCAGGACCUCAGAAAAUUGGACAUAGUAAUGAAGAUCCAGCUAUACCACUCCUGGCCAUAUACACAGAAGGUGCUGCCACAUGUCAUACGGACACAUGCUCCACUAUGUUCAUUGCAGCUAUAUUUAUAGUAGCCAGAAGCUGGAAACUGCCCAGAUUUCCCUCAACAAAGAAAUGAAUACAGAAGAUCUGUACCCCAUUUUUAAUAAGGUUAUUUGGUUCUCUAGAGUCUAACUUCUUGAAUUCUUUGUAUAUUUUGGUUAUUAGCACUCUAUAGAAUGUAGGGUUGGUGAAGAUCUUUGGCCAAUCUGUUGGUUCCCGUUUUCUCCUUUUAACAGUGUCCUUUGCCUUUCAGAAGCUUUUCAAUUUUAUAAAGUCACAUUUUCAAUUGUUGAUCUUAGAGCCUGAGCCAUCAGUGUUCUGUUCAGGAAAUUUUCCCCUGUGCAGAUGUGUUAGAGGCUCUUUCCUAACUUUUCUUCUAUCAGUGUAUCUGGUUUCAUGUGAAGGUCCUUGAUCUACUUGGACUUGAUCUCUGAUCCUGUAUCUUCUCCUAUUUUUAGUUAGACAGGAUCUGUCUGUAUAGUACAGGCAGCCCCUUGUUUUCCUUUUCUCGUUUCUGCCCUCUAGUGUCAGAAUUUGUUACUGUAAGCCACCAAACCAGGAAGUUGGUGCUUUGUGUUACCUUUAUCUCCUAUGAAAUGGGUUGUGUGCUGUUCCUGGGUCACAAAUAAUAUACAGUAAUUUUCACAGGCCACAUGGAUACAUUUGAGAAAAAAAGUUUUCUGU
rnacentral:lncRNA from 1 species